rnacentral:hammerhead_ribozyme from 1 species
AUGCGAAACGCCCGCGCGAGCGGGCGUCUGCCGGGCGUGGUGGUCCGGUACUGAUGAGCAGCCAAAC